GCCUGUAUAGCUUAACGAAAGCAUAACACUGAAGAUGUUAAGAUAGACCCUAGAAAGUCUUAUAAGCA
rnacentral:tRNA from 1 species